GACGAACGCUGGCGGCGUGCUUAACACAUGCAAGUCGAACGAAAAGAGGGAAAGAGCUUGCUCUUUCCGGAAUUGAGUGGCAAACGGGUGAGUAACACGUAAACAACCUGCCUUCAGGAUGGGGACAACAGACGGAAACGACUGCUAAUACCGAAUAAGUUCCAAGGGCCGCAUGGCCCAUGGAAGAAAAGGUGGCCUCUACCUGUAAGCUAUCGCCUGAAGAGGGGUUUGCGUCUGAUUAGCUGGUUGGAGGGGUAACGGCCCACCAAGGCGACGAUCAGUAGCCGGUCUGAGGGGAGGACAGGCAACACUGGAACUGAGACACGGUCCAGACCCCUACGGGAGGCAGCAGUGGGGAAUCUUCCGCAAGGGGCGAAAGCCUGACGGAGCAACGCCGCGGGAGGGAUGACGGCCUUCGGGUUGAAAAACUUUGUGAUCCGGGACGAAAAGGCAGGGGGCGAAAAACAAACUGCAUUGACGGUACCGGAAAAGCAAGCCACGGCUAACUACGU
rnacentral:rRNA from 1 species